CUUUGGGAAAUACUCUCAGCUACUGACGAAAAUGGAGCUACUGAUUGAUUUAGGGCUUUGUCUAAUUUAGCAUAUUGAAUUAUUUCAGGCCCACAAGAAGGAGGAGGAUAUGCUGAUGACAGCAUGUUCAGGCCUGUGUAUUCAACCAAUGUGUUAGACUAGGGAUCCGUGCCAGACACAGCUCUGUUUUGCAGCACUUGGCCAUGCAAAGUGAUGCUCCCAAACAGGGCAUUGGAGGAGACUCAGCUCAGCAAAGCUGCAGGUAGAGCAGAGCUCAUUGCCACUGUUUUCCAUAUGUUCCUCUCUAUGGGGGCCUGACUGGACCUCGACCUGAGGAGGAUGCGAAACGGAAACUUAAUGGAGAAGCAAGUCCCACCCCCAGAUUCCAUGAGCUGCACUUUGGUCCUAUCAAGACAGGAAGGCAGCUGCAUGAGAGGUGGAAAGAGAGAAAAUUAUAAAGAUGAAAUCAGCACCAACAGCUAUCAUGGGCAGGGAAAGCAGCGCUGGAUCCCAG
rnacentral:lncRNA from 1 species